GAACCAGCCAAGUCGCGUGAGGGAAGACUGCCCUAUGGGUUGUAAACCUCUUUUGUCAGGGGAGCAACAACAUCUACGAGUAGGUGUUACGAGAGUACCUGAAGAAAAAGCAUCGGCUAACUCCGUCGCC
rnacentral:rRNA from 1 species